AGUUUUAUUGGAGAGGAUGUAUGAGAAUGUUCUGGAGAAUACUAUAUAUUCUCAUCUUUCAUAUUUGAGAAAGGGAGUUCUUUUGGGAGUAUUUUUCGGAGAAAAUAUAGAAAGGGCUAGGGUUUUAGAUAAAGGGGGAGUUUUCUUCUCUAAUUUUGGAUCUUCUUUUAAAUUCCAGAAAAGAAAAUAAUCGUUUCUUAUUUUUGGUUUUCAGACUUCUUUAAUUUUUUUUUUAGGUUGUUUCAAGCUUGAGAAAAAUACAAAAAAAAAAUGGGUUUUUUUAAGUUAGAAAUUGAGAUUUCAGAGGCUAAAAUAUAGGUCUAUUUCUUCCUCUUUCAAUUAUGGAUUUGAGUUUUUUAAACCAAAAAUAGAGUUUGAUUAAAGUUUGGUUUCGAGUUCGGCGUGAGGUUUCGAGGUGCCGAUUCGAGUUCCUGCAUGAGGUUGCAGUUAGAGGUUCAUGUCCGAAAUUUCAUUCAAUUUUGGUUGCUAUUUUCUUGGUCUGAGAUUUGGAGUUGGAGCUCUGUACCUACUGAUUUCUCAUACCUUAAAGGAAAGCACAUUUCAGGUCCAUCUUUUCCCUUAUCGUUUCUUUCCUUAGUAUUGAUUCAUGCUUGAAAGAGAUAUUCGAUACUCUGCGUCAUUGCUUGAUGCCCUGUUUUGUUGUUUGACGUUUUAUCAUGUUUUGUCCUAUGGUUUGAGUGCUUUGUUUUAAUUGUGGUGCUAUGGCAUGUUAUUUCAUUUUGAUUUUGGUUUCAAGCAGUUAGUAAGGUCCUCAUAAUGUAUUCAAUUAAUUAGAGAAAUGAUUUGGGUUGUUUCAUUUAAAGAUAAAAUCUACAUCAUGCAUCAAACUUUUCCUUGUUCUCUUUUCCUGAAAAUCAAAUGCCGAAGUUUUUUAUUUCUAGCUAUAUUUGGGACUACUGUUGGCGACAUCUAUGUUGGUGGAUUCUUAUUUAAAUGAAUAGCUUCUUCUGUGGAUUCUUAAAAGGUUAUAAUAAUCACAUGAACAUGAACCUUAGGCUCUUUCAAAUGAUGGUUUGUUGGAAAGGGAUAUUGGAAAAGUUCUGUUAGUCGAGGGAUAAUCUUCCAUGUCUUGAAAAUUAUUUUUCUUGCUAGAUUUCUUGUGUUGUUGAAUCUUAAAAUUUUAAGUGUGUCGUGCAUGGUAUUAAGGAUCACAUUAACUCUCUUUGGAUACUACUUGUUUGGUGAUUAAUUUCAAUAAAUUUCCAUCUUCUGUGCAAUUGUAGUUUGUCAAGUUCGUAUGUUUAAGUGGAAAUGUGGCUAGGUUGAUGGGAUAUUUUGCUCUUAUCCUACUUUGAAUUGCCAUUUUUAAUUUUAUUAUUAUUAUUAUUAUUAUUUUCUCCUAUUCCGUUGUUACUAUAUUUUGUUUCUUCUAUAUGUUUGGUUAUUUGAUACUAUCUUGGUAUAAAUGGAUGGUUUGAAUGAUUGUUGGACCUCGGGGAGUGGGGAAUACCCAAGCCCGUUAGUGAUUAAUUUCACUCUGCUUUCUUAUUAUUUUAUUUUGUUACCCCGUCACUUAACCGCAGGAGUAUGUUUUAGGCCGACCACUUGGGUAGGCGAUGUUAGGAUGCUUUAUUAGUUUAGGUGGAAGAUCAUUCUCAUAGUUAAAUUUAUCUGGGGAAUGCCCCGAAGAACUUGUAAAUAUAUUCAAUUCGGGGACUGCCCUGUAAUACAUGUAUUGGGAGGCCUUGACGAGCAUCGUGGAGAAGCCAUAGUGUAGGUUAGUUUAGGAUUUCUUUUCUUUUCUUUACAUUUUUAUUUAUUAGGUGGGAACAAUCGUGAGCCUUUUUGGUGUUUAUUCUCGUGUUUUGUGUGUCCCUACCUCAAUCUGAGUCUUCUUUAAAAACCAACUAGAUCGAGUUUGCAAUCGUGUUUUUCACGGCAUUCGAGGAAUGCCUGACACUUUCUCUCCGAGUCAAAUGAAUGCCCUUUCUCAGAAUCUCUGGGGCUUUUGGUUUUAGAGUUCAACGUGUUUUGAACGAAAAUUUAUUUUUAAAUGGAGACCUGGCACACCACAACCAAAUAUCAGGUGGCCACUCUAAAUAAUCUUUUAAAACACAAUUUCAUCACUUUCAAUUUUCAAAACCCUUUCAAGCUUUGCAAAACCUUUUUAUUAUUUUUAAGUGGGUUCAGUGAGGUGAAAAAAAGGAUGUGACAACUUUAGCAACUCUGCUGGGGAGUUGCAGGUUCGAGAUGAUACUACGAUCUUGCCGACUUUUUAGAAUAUUCUUUUUUUAGGAAAAUAUACCACUGGGCUGAUUGCCUAGAGGUAUUUUUAUUAAGAUAAUAAAAUAUAAAAUAACACGUGUCUGGAGGUCUUACAAAAUGUAAGUGCAUAAAAAAUGAAAGUACAUGAAAUAUAAUAUCAAAGUCUUGUGUGACACAAUCCUUUGAUAGUAUAAAAAGAUCUAAUAACCAUAAAUCUUGAAUCAACCUAACUGACUUCAACUUGCAACCCCUCUUUAAAAAGGAUUGCAUUCUCUUUGUUUGGAUCUAGGUAGUUGCACUUGGUGUCUUGGUCAAAUGGGAUCUUCAUGUGAUGUCUAUAACUGGUAUCUAAACUAGAACAUGACUACUUGUUCCAAAAUUUGCACGAAAUGCAUUCUAAGAUACCUGUCCAGUUCAAGGCAGAAGGGAUGAUGUUGCAAAUUUGUCGCCACAUUGCGUGAUCAUACCUAGACAAUCUUGCAACAAACCUUUUAUAUUUAGGUUCCUUAUAUGUAGUAGAUGCAUCAUGUGCAUGGGAGCUCCACCAAUACUCAAUAAAUUUCCCGCCCAAAGUUGUACACCCCCAUUGCCAAGUUUACUUAAUGUGGGCAGUAGACAAUCCUUGCGCAUAACAUUAGCUCUUGAGACUUGAUGGAAUCUGUGUUUCUUACGUUAUGUGAUCCUAAAGAAGUGGUAGAUGCAAAGGGAUAUGCAUUUCCUAGUGUAACUCUUCCCAUUUCCUCCACAUACUAAACAUGGUAAUGGAUCACGUAGCAUAGGCUUGUGCUCAACCUUCUCUUUGAAUUUUUGAUAGAAUAAUCGGGCUCACCUAUAUAGAGGUUGAGUAUCAAAGAUACUAAUACCACACUACUAGGUUUGGCCAAAACAUAGAGCCAAACCCCCUACUAGGUUAUACCUAUAGGGGUUGAGUAUCAAAUCCUUCCUCUUCUCCUCCCUUAGUAUUUGAGUUGGAAGGGUCAUGUUUUCUCCUUCCCCUAUCAUUUGCCUCAUUCCUCCAUAAUACUUUCUCCUCCUCUUCUUCAUUAUUAUAAUCUCCCCUUCACUCUCCAUAUCAAUUAGUUUCUUCAUCAAUUAGCAUUUGGCUUGGCAACUCUUACCCACAAGUAUGGUAUUUGAAGUUUGUCAUUAUUCAAUAUCUUUAUCCCUUGUAUAUCUAGUUCCCAAAAUGAGUGUACCUGUUGUAUAUGUUGCUAGUCCAAGGUAUGAUCAGCUAACUUGUUGCCUUUAUUCAUUACAUGAGCUAGCUGGAAUGCAUCCCUAAAUAAUAAUGAUUUGAUUUCAUCUACAUGGUUUGCUAUGUUCCAAGGUGGUUCCCAAGUAUCAUCCAACACAUUCUUCAUAAGUAGAGAAUCUGUUUCAAUUAUGCAUGGAGGUAAUGACAUUUGAAUAAUGUACCUUGGGGCCUCCAGAAUUGGUUAUGCUUCAGCUAUAUUGUUUGUUGCUUCCUCUACUGCAUCUGUCUGGGCAUAGAUGAGGUCCCCUAUUUCAUCCCUUAUACAAAAAAUAUAUGAAGCUCCUCCACUGUCUCAUCUACAAGCCGUAUCCAUUGCAUUUUAUCCAACCCACAGGAGGUAAUUGCCACAUAACCUUUGUAUAGCUCAGCUUUGGAACAUGAUGGCUUACUUUUUAUGUAGGUCAGGCCAAUUUGCUGCGACACCCUUGAUGCUUGGUUUCCUCACUUUCACCAGCAUUUGGAUGGAGUUUGAAAUAUGAUAAAUCAGCCUAUUAAAAGAUACAAUUUUCCCAAUAUUUCUAGAGUUCAUCCUCUUCCAUGAGUGCCAGACAAUCAAGCUUGGAAUUACUUGAUAUAUUUCCUUCAAACUUGUAUUUCCUGCUUUGUUCCACCAUUCAUUUAUCAAUUGUACCAGCUUCUUCCCUUGUGUUUUGAUGCCAACAGGUGCACCAAAAUAAUUCCACACAAACCUAGCAGCUAGAGAUGUCAACAAGACAUGAGGUAAUGCUUUUUCUCUAGGGUGCCUACGACGCGAACAUCUUGAAGUUCUAAUGUACCCCAUCCUUUGGAACAAUCAUCCAAAGGUAGUUUUGCUUUCCAUAAUCUCCACAUGAAGAAGCUAACUUUGAAAGGCAGUCCCUUCACCUAAAAGAACUUGUAUAGCUUGCUCUCAUCUCUUCUCUUCCUUAUGUAUUGCCAAGCAGACUUCCGUGUAAAUUGGCCAUCAUUUCUGGCUUCCACCAGGGCUUAUCCUUCAUUGAGUUAUGUGUAGGAGGUGUGAUCAUCUCUAAGAUAUGGUUAGCUAACUCCUCAGGCAAUAGCUACCUCAACAACACUUCAUUCCAUGUCCCAUUCUCCACCACCUCAUCUACAUGUUUUAUGGAUUCAUCACACCAAUGAUCUGGACAUGAAGCAUGGUGAAGAGCACCAAGUCCAGUCCAAUUAGCAUAUCAGAAGUAAAAGUUUCCAUUCUUCAACUGCCACCACACUUGAUGCACCACCUCCUCUCUCAUUUCUCCCAAGGAACUAGCUCCUCAUUAAUCUUCUUGCAGUAUUUUUUACUCAUAAAUAUAGACCAUAGUGUAUCUUUUGUUGUAUAGUUCCACCAUAACUUGGCAAAUAAUGCCUUAGCCACAUCAUGUAAGGAUAUGAAACCAAGAUUUCCUUCAUUUUUAGGCGGACACAAAUUGUCCCAUGAAGCCCAAUGUCUAGCCUUUUGAGUUGCUCUAGUAGAACCUAGAAAACAUCUUGUGUAAAUGAUUGAUCACAUAUGCUGGUGGGUUCACAGCUGACAAGAGAUCAAUUGGCACGCUUUCAAGCACAUGAGAAAUCAAAACUUCCCUGCCACCAAUUAAUAAUAACUUACCUUUUCAUGAUGAUAGCCUCUCCUGAACUUUGAAGAGGAUGCCCUUGUAGAAAUCUUUCUUCCUCCUGUUGUAGGAUAUAAGGCAUCCCAAAUAUGUGAAUGGGAAGGGAUUUUUUUUAAAUUAUGUGAUCAAAUGGAUUGUGUUAGCUUUAUCUGCAAGCACACUUUCACGUGUAUUAAAGGAGGACUUUUCCUUGUUGAUCUUCAGACCUGAAGCUGCCUCAUACUCCUCUAAUACAUUCAUGGUAAGCUGCAGUACCCCAUAGUGAGAAGAACAAAAAAUAAUGGUGUCAUCUGCAUAGGAUAAAUAGUUGAUAUUUUGACUCCACUUUGGCAUACCAAAUCCUAUGAAGUCAGGAUUAUCAAACAAGGCAUCCAAGGCUUUUCCAAGUACUUCAGCUGCUAAAAUGAACAAUGAAGUAGAAAGAGGAUCUCCUUGCUUAACUCCAUUUGAUGAUUUAAAGAAACCAUUUGCGUGCCCAUUCAAGAGAACAGAGUACCAAUUGUCGAACACUAGCCUAAAGAUCAUGUCAAUGAACACCUCUCCAAACCCCAUUCGCCUAAGCACCUUUGUCAAAAACAAUCAUGAGACUCUGUCAUAUGCCUUUGCUAUGUCCAAUUUGAUAACAACAUUACAUGGCUUUCCUCUCAAGAUAAUGUUAGUUAUGAUCUCUUGAGUUAAUAAUAUAUUGCCCACAAUGCUCCUUCCUUUGACAAAACCAGCAUGAUUGGGAGAUAUUAAAGAAGGUAGUAGAUCUACUAAUCUCUCAUGAACAACUCUGGAUAUGAUUUUGUCAAUGUUACAGGAAAGUAGGAGGGGAGCAUGGUCUGAACCAUACAUGAUCAGAUGCUCUACUUCAAGUGUUGGGAAAAGGUCAAUUAACUGUUGAUUUGCAAAGUAUCUAUCAAGCCUCUUAAUUAUGUAGUAAAUAUCAAAUCUACAUUCUACCAAGUGUACAAAAUCCCCUUGAAGCCCAUGUCAUAUAAUGCAUAUGUAUCUACACAAUGUGCAAAGUCUUCUACUUCACUUAAAUAAACAGGCAGUCCCCCAUAUUUCUCUUCCUCAGAUAGAAUCACAUUGAAAUCUCCUCUAACAAGCCAAGGAGAUUACAUAUCUGAUGCUAAAUGAUGCAUUGAAUCCCACAGUUCAAUUCUUUCUAUAGCAUCACCUUUGGCAUAGACUAAUGUCAAAUAUAAUUCCUUGUUCAGAUUUCUGUGAAAUAACUUAAUUAUCAUUUGUUAUUCCAGGUUCAUCACAAUGUCAACAUCUAUAUCUUCAUCCAAAAAAUCCUAUAUCUUACCAUUCAUAUUAGCAUAAGCAGAAUGAAUCCCCAGCUUCCUUUUAUACUCCUCUAGCUUAUUGAUAUCUUGCCAAGGUUCCAUCAAACCUAUCAAAUAGAAGUUGUAGUUUCUAUGUAGGUUAACCAACCUAUUGAAAGUUUUUUAUGUUUUAAUCGACCUCACAUUCCAGACUAGAGCAUUAUCCAUAUGAUUAUUUGGAAGUAGAGACCAAAGUCCUCUUUGGUUGCACUCUUUGAGGUACACUGCCCUUAAUGUCUUUCUUUUGUUUCCUUGCAGGCUUUCCAGUUGACUUCUUCAUGUCCACACUCUUAGGUAAUAUAUCUCCAGCUCUGGCUACUUGUUGGAAGUUUGUAGUUGUUGAAUCUUCCUCAAUAUCUUCGUUUAUAUCUUCUUGAUCUUCCUUGUUAUCACCUAUCACUUAAGGAGCUAACAAGUUUGGUUCAUGGUUUUUGGCAAUCAUCCUAAGCUCAUUUUGGCCCCUGUUGUUAAUGAGAACUCCCUUUGUCAAUAAGCCACUGGUAACACUAAAUGUUUUCCCAGCUAACAGUCCAGGAUCUUUAAUUGUUGAUGUAUCAAUUUGAAUGGCAUUGUUGUUAUGCCGAGUUUCAUAAAUUUUUGUAGUGACAUGCAACUCAACUUGAUCAUGGGCCCUAUAUGUAGAUUCCUUCCCCACCCCAUCAUUCAACUCCUUUACACUCAUAGCCUCCUGAAUUGCUUUGAAUUGCAUUGUAUACAUAUCUCCCAGAUUAGGGUUUCCAGAAAUCACUAUAUCCAGUUGCCCAGAUUUUACUAUUCCAUUGAGUUAAGUAGUCUUGCCUUGAGCUAUUUGUUAAUUUUCCAUCAUUGUAUCAUUAAAGACAUUAACAUCUACCUGGUCAACCUUUUCCUUCCCCAAAAUCUCCACCGGAACCACUUUAGAUUGAUCAAAAUUCUGAACAGUUUCUCUAGAAGUUACGGUUCCAUUGGUUUUCUUCUUAGCUGAGGCUUCUCCAGCUUAUCCAAUUGCAUUACCAUCUUCCUUAUAAGUUCCUUGACCUCUUCCAAUCAUCAGAAUAGUUAAUGAUCGAUUAUCCCCUUCUCCACCCUCAACCCUAAUUUCAGAUAUUCUAGGGUUUACUGUAGAUAGUGGGCUCACAGUUGAUGCUUUUUUCUCAAUCAUGAUGCCUCUUUAUUCCUUGCUUUUUGUACUACUAUUUGUCAUAUUUUCAACCUCCAUGAUCUUAAUUUCAUCACUCCAUAACCUUCUAUAAGAAUUGACAUCAGUAUUAGCUUCAUUCCCCUUUGAAUCAUCAUAGGUUUGCAAUGAGACUUCAUGACAAGAAUGAUUCAAUAUAAUAUACAUAUCUCUCAGUUCCUCCUUACUCAUUCCAAAUCUCCUAUGAACCCACUCAAUUGUGGAUUCUUUUUUGUUUGCCUCCUCAAUCCCCAUCCCAACAUCACUAGGGCUAGGAAUUUGAUUUUAUGGAUUUUAAACUCCUGCCUUUUUUGGAGUACCUUUCCCAGUAGAGGUAGGAUUCACCUUUUUUGCUUCAACCUUCUCCUUGUUUAACACCUUUUAUACUGAUUCCUUCUUUAUUUGUUUUUGAACUUCAAUAUCACAUUCUUCUAUGAAUGCAAACUUAUUACUAGUUUGCACUGGAGCAUUAGAUUUUUCCUUUCCGACAUCAUUAGAUUUUAAUCCUUUCCGACAUCAUUAGAUAUUCUAGUUAACUCCUUGCCUUUCUUCUCCUUUAAUUCUUGAGAGUUCGUAACAUCUCCAUUCCCAGCCUCUUCAAUUAUAUAACCUCUACUGUCCCUUUGAUAUUUAUUUUUCCUUCUUUGUAUCAACUCAUUCCUUGUAGCAUUUGGCAUUGUCUUGCCCAGUAUUUUCCCACUUGUUAUGACCUUCGUAGAAGCUGAAACAGUUCCAACAACAUCACUUUGCACAAUAAUAUUCUUCUUAUUGCCUUUAUCACCAUCUUCUUCAUUAAAUUUUUUGUGAAGCUCUGGAUGAAUCACCUUGCAUUCACUCUCAUUAUGGCCUUGUUUCUUGCAAAUUUUACAGUAUUUAGGCAUGUAAUCUUACUUGAUCUUUACCCAUUUAGAUUCCUCAGGACCAGUUUCAUUUUCCUCUUCAAUGAUCUUAAUCCUUUGAGGCAGCGUUGCUAACAAAUUCACCUCUACUUGACCUUAGCACAACUAGGUCUUGUGCCAUUUUGAGUGGCCAAAUCAAUAUGAAGAGACCUUCCAACUACAUUAGCUAAUGAAAACACAAAUUCCUUACCAAGAAAAUUCGAAGGAGGGCCUAGAAAUGAUAUCCAAGCAAUUGCAAUGGGAGUUUCCUCGUCAGGUUUCCACCAUCGGCUCCUUCUAGUACAUUUCAUCUGCCAAAAAUCAUCUUAAGCCUUUAAAUAAAAGGCUAGUUUGGACAACAAAUGAACGUAAUCCACCAUUAAUGACAGCUUGAUCAAAACAUGUGUAUCCUCAAUCAAACUUACUGAGCAUUGGCCUUUUAAUUCAUAUUAAAUUGAGAUAACCUUCCUUAACUCCUGUAUUACUAGUUUUCCAUAGGAAAACUUGCCCAGAACUACAAGAUGCAAUACUUGUUGCAUUAUUGAUUGCUUAACUUUUGUUUUCUUCUAUCGCACCAUUGGUUCCCUAUAUAGGUAUUCAACAGGCUUUAGUUUUAGAGCGGCUACGUGCAUGAGGGCAUUUAAUUCUUGAGGCUGUAACAGUUUUGCGUCGUUAGGGAUUGAAGUAGGGUUUGUAGGUGUUUGGGAAGGCUGUUUAUGGUUUUUGGACGACUGACCAUCCUCAGAAGGAGGCUGGCCGGUGGCAUGAGUAGUCAUGAAAGAUGGGGUUUAGGCGUUCAGCGUAGGGUUUUUCAUGAGAGAGAAGAGAGGUUUUUUGCAUUUUAGAAUAUUCGGUUGAGGUUCUUAUGUUUUAUUUUUGUUUGAUUUGUUUGACUUUUAUUUUGUUUAUGUUGUUUUAUUAUUUACUAGUUGUUUAUGUGUUUACAGUUUUUUUGUUAUGUGUUUAUUGCUUUAUAACUUUUAUCAUUUGCAUAACCAUGGGUCUUCUUUCUGCAACAAGUCUUUUGGAGUACAUUUGAGUGUACACGGACUUUUGUGAGUCAUCCGUGUAUUUAGGGGGUGGCGUGGGAGCGUGGAGUCUACUGAUAUCUAGAGCAGCUACCAUCGACCACGUGUCGCCCCGAAUUACCUUGUCUAGUGAAUCCUAAACGUAGAUCAGCCUUUAGGUCAUACUUAUUUGCAUCAUGUCAUUUAGACCUAGCGGGGCUCGGUCCCAGGAACCGUGUCCCAUUGAAAGAGGCCUGUCCAGUUAUGUCAAAAUGGGCCCAUGGCCCAAAAAUACAUCUAAACAUCCAUAUGUGCUGCAUGUUGCAUACAUUUACGGUAAAUAGGUCAUUUGGCAGACCAAUGAGAGAGAAAAGAGGGUGAAGUAUAAAAUGAAGCAAGUAGGGCCCAUCCAUAUUUUUCUUUCAUAGUUUUCCAAAAAAAUUAAAAAAGAAAGAGAGAAAAAGAUAAUCCAAAAGAUUUUACAUUUUUCAAAAAAGACAAAAAUUAUGUUCUCCAAAUCAGUUGAUUUUUUCCAAAUUCUCUCCAUAUCCAAUCAUCCCGAACUAUGCGUACCUGAUUCUAAUCAUUCGGGGCGGGAUACGUAGGCAAACCAUAUAGGGUCCGGUCUUCCUAGUAGGUCUUACGUUUUUGGCUUCAGAGGUCGUAGCCAAAUUUUAGUGACCUGACCGGUAAUUUUGAGCUUUAGCACGUUCUUCGGUGGUUUGAGGCCAUGAGUAGCUUCACUUAAGGUAUUAUGACUUGCACGCAUGGUCGUAAAUGAAUUUCGGGAAGUUCGGAGUUGAUUUAGAAAGAAAAUUCUCAAUUCGGAAGUUUUAAGGUGAAAGAAUGGACUAAGAUUGAAUUUUUGAGUAAACGACCUCGAAAUUGGGAUUUGAAGGUUCCAACAGAUUCGUAUGAUGAUUUCGGACAUAGGCAUAUGUCCGAAUAGGGUUUUGAAAGACCCGGGAACAUUUCGGCACCUAUUGUAGUAGUUGGCAUUUUUGAAAAAAUUUCAUAAGUUUGGGUUGAAGUGCAUUUUAGUGUUAUCGAUGUCCGUUUGGGAUUCUGAGUCUGGUAAUAGCUCCGUAUGGUGAUUCUGGUGUUGGAAGCACGAUCGUAAGUGAAUUCGGAGGUCCGUGGGUCAUUUUGGAGUCAUUUGGCUAAAGAUAGAAAUUUGAAGGUUUUUGAGGAGUUUGACCGGAAGUGGACUUUUUGAUAUCGGGGUCGGAUUCUGAUUCUGGAAGUUGAAGUAAGUCUGUAAUGUCGAAUAUCACUUGUGUGCAAAAUUUGAGGUCAAUCGGACGUGAUUUGAUAGGUUUCAGCAUCGAAUAUAGAAGUUUGAAAUUCUAAAGUUCAUUAAGCUUGGAUUGAAGUGCGAUUCAUGGUUUUAGCGUUAUUUGAUGUGAUUUGAGGCUUCGACUAAGUCCUAAUACGUUUUGAGACUUGGUAUGUUCGGACGGGGUCCCAAGGGGCUCGGGUGAGUUUCAGACCAUUUUUAGCUGCUGGUUUUUGGCUAUAGCAGUGUGCUACGCGAUCGCGGGGAAUUGGUCUCGAUCGCGAAGAGCAAAAUGGGAGAAAAUGGCAAGUGAUUCACGAUCGUGGAAGGGCCUUCGCAAUCAUGUAGAGGAAAGUUUCUGCUGCACUGACCUGACUUUGGGAGCAUGUAUCUCGCAAUCUAUAAGGAACUUGGAGAUAAUCCAAAAAUGAAAGUUGUAGCCCUUUGUGCCUAGUUUUUGGAAAAUUAAACCAUUUGGUAUUUGGAGUUGUGUAAAAACGUCAUGAGUGGUACAUUAUAGCCUAUCCGGGAAGAGUUUAGAAAUCGCGAAGAAGAAAUUUGUGUUGCAUGGGGCUGAUUUUGGAAGCUUAUAUCUCGUAAUCUAUAAGGAGAUGAGCAAAGCAUGAAAGUUAUAGUCCCUGGAGUCUAGUUUUCAAAAAUUUAUGGCCAUUAUACUAGAGACUAUCCGGAAGAGCUGGGCACUUGUUCUUCGCAAUCGCGAAGGGCAAAUUUUGGGCUGAAAAAUGUUGUGCUUCGUGAUAGCGAAGCAUUUUCUGCGAUUGCGAAGAGUAAAUACUUGGGCAGAAGCUAUAUUUCGAGGUUUAGGCCAUUUUUAUCAUAUUUGGAGCUAUGGAACUCAGAUUGAUGCGAUUUUUGAGACGAUUUUCACCAUAUGGAUUGGGAUAAAUGUUCUAUAUCCGAAAGUAAUUACGCUUCAUGAUUCUAUGGUUAUAUUCAUCAUUUAUUUCGGAUUUAAAUGAAAGAAAUCAAGUAUUUUUGUAAAACUUUUNNNNNNNNNNNNNNNNNNNNNNNNNGUGGGCCUGAGGGUGAUUUUGUCAACUUUUCGAGCGGAGUUAGGAAUUUAUCUAAAUUGAAUAGUUGUGAGUAUUAGUGCAUAUAUUUAUGGAUUUUCUCAUUUAUUGGCUAGUUUUGGAGCGUUGUGCAUCGAUUUAAGCCGUCGGAAGGGCUUGGAAGCCGUUUAUGGAACUUCGGAGUGAGGUAAGUCUCCUUUCUAACCUUGUAAGAGGGAAUUAAGCCCAUAAGUGAACUAAAUUAUUAUCUCCUUCUAUUUGAGGGGGGAUACGUACGCACGAGGUGCCGAGAGUCCGUACGUAGCUACUAGCUAUGCCCAUGUCCAGGUAGUUUAGGCUUACAUCAUGCUUUGUUGAUAUUGUUGUUAAUUCAUGUUAUUGUUGUCUUGAGAAGAAACAAGAUUAGGGUUGCAUAAUAAUUGUGUUGAAAGGAAUAUGAAUUGGGGAAUUUAAGAUUUUUAAGGGUUUCCAUGAAACUUCGUAUUUUCGAAAGAAUUGAGAAAUAUUAUAAUGACUUAAGAAAUCUAUGUGUGACCGCGUCGCAUGUGCAUUUCGCGAGUGGGGAAAAUCUCUUUAAAAGCUUCAUGUUGAAUUGUCCUUAUUUUUAAAGGAAUCAAGAAAAGGAUUUUGAUUUAUUAAUAAAUUAUAUUUGGUCGCGUCGCAUGUAUGAUUCGCGAGCGGGGAAAUUCCGUAAAUUAUAUUUGACCGCGUCGCACGUAUGAUUCACGAGCGGGGUAUUUCCUUCUACUACUCUUAUGGGAUCGGGCCACUCGCCUUGGCAGGAUUUAUGUACCACACUCUCAUGAGAGCAUGCAGUUUGCCUCAGCAGAUUAAUAGAUGCAUCUAUGGUUCGCGCCGCUCGACCCUCGGCAGUGUACAUUUUACUUUUAUGUUGGAUCGGGUCGUACGCCUCAGCAGUUAUAUAUAUAUAUAUAUAUAUAUACACACACACACAUCAUUCUUAUAGAACUUGCGUGUAACAUUUGGCUAGAAGCCAGGGUAUCUGAGGAUCUUUCCCUGAUUUGAAUUAUGACAACCAUUUUAUGAUAGUCACUAUAUCUUCAUAUAAAUGCUCUGGUUACGAAGGGAACGUGCUAGUUGAGAGCUCGAGUAUAAUUGUAAAGAAGAGAAUUGUACCACAUACUUUAUACAUGUUUAUUUCAUAUGUUUACUCUGCUUCAUAUUUAUUCACUUCUUUACUGUAUUUGAAAUUAUUGGACCACUAGUAAGUGUCGAAGUCGACCUCUUGUCACUACUUCUUCGAGAUUAGACGGGAUACUUACGGGGUACACGUUAUUUUUGUACUCAUACUACACUUGCUGUGCAUUUUUGUUGCAUAGGCACAUGUAUGACUAGUGGCCUAGUCAGGCGCAAUGACAUGUUUGAUAUGGAGACUUAGUUGAGUUGCACCUCUCGAGACGACCCACAGCUGGCAGAGUCUUCUUCAGAGUACUGUAUUGUAUUUUUCCUUCUUUCCAAUUUGUAUUCCGGACAGUUAUUGUAUUACAUUAUUUCUUAGAAAUUGCUCAUGCACUUGUGACACCGGGUUUUGGGUUGUCAAUGGGAUUAUUCAGUGUUAAAAUUUGUUAAAGACAUCAUUCUUUAUUCAGU
rnacentral:lncRNA from 1 species